GAUGAACGCUGGCGGCGUGCCUAACACAUGCAAGUCGAACGGAGUCCAGCCUUUAAGACCUUCGGGUCAAAGAGGGGAAGACUGAGUGGCGGACGGGUGAGUAACACGUGGGCAACCUGGCUCAUAGAGGGGGAUAACAGAGAGAAAUUUCUGCUAAUACCGCAUAAGCACACACUGCCGCAUGGCAGAGGGUGAAAAGAGAAUCGCUAUGAGAUGGACCCGCGUCUGAUUAGCCAGUUGGCAGGGUAAGAGCCUACCAAAGCGACGAUCAGUAGCCGAUCUGAGAGGAUGAACGGCCACAUUGGGACUGAGACACGGCCCAAACUCCUAAGGGAGGCAGCAGUGGGGGAUAUUGCACAAUGGGGGGAACCCUGAUGCAGCGACGCCGCGUGAGUGAAGAAGUAUUUCGGUAUGUAAAGCUCUAUCAGCAGGGAAGAUAAUGACAGUACCUGAAUAAGAAGCCCCGGCUAACUACGUG
rnacentral:rRNA from 1 species